rnacentral:rRNA from 1 species
AACGAACGCUGGCGGCAGGCCUAAAACAUGCAAGUCGAACGCCCUAGCAAUAGGGAGUGGCGCACGGGUGAGUAACAUGUGGGAAUAUGCCUUUUGGUACGGAACAACGUUUGGAAACGAACGCUAAUACCGUAUGGUCCCUCCGGGGUAAAGAUUUAUCGCCAAAAGAUUAGCCCGCACUAGAUUAGCUAGUUGGUAAGAUAAUGGCUUACCAAGGCGACGACCUAUAGCUGUUCUGAGAGGAAGAUCGGCCACACUGGGACUGAGACACGGCCCAGACUCCUACGGGAGGCAGCAGUUAGGCAUAUUGGACAAGGGGCGCAAGCCUGAUCCAGCCAUGCCGCGUGAGUGAUGAAGGCCUUCGGGUUGUAAAGCUCUUUAGCCGACGAAUAUAAUGACUGUAGUCGGAGAAUAAGCCCCGGCUAACUUCGUGCCAGCCGCCGCGGUAAUAC